CCAAUGGCUGACUUCCUAAUUCAAACUAACUGAUGGAAGACUCUUGAGCAAACAGCCUUCUUUGCAAUGCUCACCUUAAGGUUCUUUCUCACCUGGAUAACACACUGGCGUUGGAGACACAUUGUCAUCAAAUGGCUUUACUUCAUUCCAGACCUCUGCCAUUGGCUAAGUUCUUCUGUGACCUCUCAGACUGACACUCAUCAGAGGCACUUUGACUACAGUCUUGCCCUGUUCUACCCAUUUUGUUUGCCAGAAAACAACCAAAGUAGCCUUUACCCCCCAGCCUCUGGGAGGGAUGAUGUGGAAAGAUUCAGAUACUCUAACAGGCAGACAGACAAGGAGUCCAAAUUUAAUAAGAUAGCAAACUUCUGGCUGCUUCUCCACCUUAGACAAAGAUUUCGUGGACUUCUAUGAUAGUUUGAAUAAGGGUGUCCCCACGUAUGCCCAUAGGAAGUGGCACUGUUAGGAGGUAUGACCUUGUUGGAGUAGAUAUGUCCUUGUUGGAACAGUGUGGCUCAGUCUUCCUUCCUGCUACCUGUCAAUCUAGAAGUAAAACUCUCAGCUUCUCCAGCACCAUGUCUGCCUGCAUACGACCAUGCUUCCCACAAUGAAGACUAAACCUCCGACUAGACCAAAACAGCAGCAAAUGGUUUUGCAAGUGUUAAUUUUAAGAGGGAAAUGGGGAAGUCUGUGUUAGGAUGAGCUAGGACACGUUGGCAAGUUCUGAUUGGGAUUAAUUAUUUUAAUUAAGAUAGUCAAAAUAAUGAGUUUUGGUUGCUGGACUUUGAUGUUUUGAGAGUUGGACCUUAGUGAUCAGUCUCAGGGAUGUGGGAAUAGACCCAAAUAAGAGAAUAGAUCUUGUUGGCCAGCUUUAGGAAUGUAAUCCAAUUAAUGGGAAAAAAAUAAAAGGAAACACUUACUAAUGUCA